UACAGAGGUCUCAAGCGUUGUUCGGAUUCAUUGGGCGUAAAGGGUGCGUAGGUGGCGUGGUAAGUCGGGUGUGAAAUUUCGGAGCUUAACUCCGAAACUGCAUUCGAUACUGCCGUGCUUGAGGACUGGAGAGGAGACUGGAAUUUACGGUGUAGCAGUGAAAUGCGUAGAGAUCGUAAGGAAGACCAGUGGCGAAGGCGGUCUGCUGGGCCGUUGCUGACGCUGAGGCGCGACAGCGUGGGGAGCAAACAGG
rnacentral:rRNA from 1 species